GGGUGCUUGAGGCUGUCUGGCCUUGAGCAAGACCAGGCCCCAGACAGACGAAAGCCCCAGGAGAUAUUUCUAUCAACUGAGGCUGACGGAUGAACCUGAACAAUUCAGAUGUUAGUCUCUUCUUUGCAGGGAGGCAAGACAUGCUAACAAA
rnacentral:antisense_RNA from 2 species